UACAGAGGGUGCGAGCGUUAAUCGGAAUUACUGGGCGUAAAGCGUGCGUAAACGGUUAUUUAAGUCGGAUGUGAAAGCCCCGGGCUCAACCUGGGAAUUGCAUUCGAGACUGAAUAGCUAGGGUACGGUAGAGGGAAGUGGAAUUUCCGGUGUAGCGGUGAAAUGCGUAGAUAUCGGAAGGAACAUCAGUGGCGAAAGCGACUUCCUGGACCAGUACCGACGUUCAGGCACGAAAGCGUGGGGAGCAAACAGG
rnacentral:rRNA from 1 species